AUUGAACGCUGGCGGCAGGCCUAACACAUGCAAGUCGAACGAGUGGCGGACGGGUGAGUACUGUCUGGGAAACUGCCCGAUGGGGGGGGAUAAAUACUGGAAACGGUCGCUAAUACCGCAUACCAUCGGAUGUGCCCAGAUGGGAUUAGACAGUAGGUGGGGUAAUGGCUCACCUAGUCGACGAUCCCUAGCUGGUCUGAGAGGAUGACCAGCCACACGGGAACUGUGACACGGGCCAGACUCCUACGGGAGGCAGCAGUGGGGAAUAUUGCACAAUGGGCGCAAGCCUGAUGAAGCCAUGCCGCGUGUAUGAAGAAGGCCUGCGGGUUGGAAAGUACUGUCAGCGAGGAGGCGUUACUCGCAGAAGAAGCACCGGCUAACUCCGUGCCAGCAGCCGCGGUAAUUC
rnacentral:rRNA from 1 species